GUGCUUGCUUCAGCAGCACAGAUGCUAAAACUGGAAUGAUACAGAGAUAAACAUGGCCCCUGUGCAAGGAUGACAUGCAAAUUCAUGAAGCAUUCCAUAUUUUU
ensembl:snRNA U6 U6 spliceosomal RNA